rnacentral:rRNA from 1 species
UACGGAAGGUGCGAGCGUUGUCCGGAAUCAUUGGGCGUAAAGGGCGCGUAGGUGGCCCGGUCAGUCUUUGGUGAAAGCGCGGGGCUCAACCCUGCGUCGGCCAGGGAUACUGCCGCGGCUCGAGCACUGUAGAGGCAGGCGGAAUUCCGGGUGUAGCGGUGGAAUGCGUAGAGAUCCGGAAGAACACCGGUGGCGAAGGCGGCCUGCUGGGCAGUUUAGCUGACACUGAGGCGCGACAGCGUGGGGAGCAAACAGG